AGAGACUGUUCAAACCACUGAGGAUCAGAUUUUGAAGAGAGAUAUGCCACCAGCAUUUAUUAAACUUUUACUAGAGGAAAUCCUAAAGAAUGUACUUCAGACAAGUCCGCUGAUCCCAGAUGUAAGCCUGAAAUACAAGAGGGAAUGAUGAGCCAAGAUACUGGACAGUUUGUUGGUAAAUGUAGAUAAGUGUUGAUGUAUAUAAUAAUGGGAUGUUUUUACUCAACGCUUCUGAUACCAGAUGUGUGGCUUUUUUUUUCCACACCAA
rnacentral:sRNA from 1 species